rnacentral:rRNA from 1 species
AUACGAAAGGUGCAAGCGUUGUUCGGAUUUACUGGGCGUAAAGAGAGUGUAGGUGGUUUAUUAAGUCGGAUGUGAAAUCCCGGGGCUCAACCUCGGAACUGCAUUCGAUACUGAUAGGCUAGAGUUUGGGAGGGGUAAGCGGAAUUCCGUGUGUAGCAGUGAAAUGCGUAGAUAUACGGAGGAACACCUGAGGCGAAGGCGGCUUACUGGACCAAUACUGACACUGAGACUCGAAAGCGUGGGGAGCAAACAGGAUUAGAUACCCUAGUAGUCC